rnacentral:lncRNA from 1 species
AUGAGUGAGGUUGAUCCUCCACCGUCUCCUCUGCUGUGUAACCAGCAGCUCUUCACUCCUGUUUUCAGUCACCGUGGACAAACAGCUGUAACUCUCACCUCUGACACUGAGAGUCACUACUUUCUGUGUCAGCAUGUCUCCAUCCUUGUAGACGGUGCAGGUGUAGACUCCACUGUCAGUGAGGUGGAGGUCUUUCAGGGUCAGACUGAGGUCUUUAGUUCUCAGUGGAUCUUCCUUCAUCUCUGUGCGACCUCUGUAACCCUGGUCCUGUUUAUCUGGCUGAUUGUUUCCACUCUCAUACACGUGGACCUUCCUGUUGUUGUGUGUCCACUCCACUGUGACGUCCUGAGGAAGGUCAGCUGUGGGUUUAAAGGGUAGAAGGACAGACUCCUCCCCCUGUGGUGCCUCCACCACCUCUUGUUGCAGAGCUGAGAGGAGAACAUGUACAGACAGACAUCAGUGUCCUUGUAUUUAAAUGUGAAACACAGUAAUAUACAAUGACCUCACCUGUGUUAUUACACAUGUGUAUAUAUGUUAUUGUACAUGCUGUUGGUGGUGUUUGGCGAACUCACCACAGUGUCAUUACAAAGGUAAGUAGUGUUCUUAGCUUAGUCCGACACUGUGACGGUGAUAAUAAAUCUUUGUUACACAGAUGUCAGUGAGUCAGAUCCUCCAUCAUGUAACCAGCAGCUCUUUAUAUACAACCAAAGGUGGAGGUGAUGGAGUAAAAGUGGAAGUUGUGCAUGAAGCAGUGCUGCUGUACACUGAACACAGCAGCAGUCCAGUAGUUGUUAAAAAAAGAUGGUCAUUGGACAUAGAUGACAGGGUGUCAAUCUGGGACUCUCCACCGUUUGGUCAGAAGAAGCUUCUCAGAUGAAACAUCUCAAACUCAGAGACACUGCUUUUGUUUCCACGCUCCUUAGAUCGUUUGUAUCCAUGUGAUCUGUUAUUUACAGUCAUGAUGACUCCUUCUCAGUGGGUGGAGCCUCCACCUGUGGAAGGAGGAGCUGAAGCUAACACUGCGUCCAGAUGUUACAGACGUGUUGGAAACAUCAGCAGCUGGUUUCAGUGAUCUGUGAGGAGCUGCUGGAUUCAUGUGUGGAGGUCAGAGGUCACAGACAUCAGUCAGAGUGAUGGUAGAGCUCGCUCUGUUACUGAGUCACACACACACGUACCUUCACUUCUCUUCUCCAUCCUUACAUAUGCACGGCACACAAACAGACCAAAGGCAGCAGCCAGGAUGAUCAGAGUACCCAGCAGCACAGCUGAGAGGACUUUGGGCCACACUGGAGGAGGUACUGUAACACAAACACACGAGACAUGAACAUCAUCAACAUGUUCAUAUGAACUCACAUCAAUCUGACCUCUGUCCACUGACCUGAGACCUUCAGCUGUACUUCAGUCUGGCAAAGCCUGUCUCCAAACCUGAGGGCGAUACAGCAGUAGGUUCCACUGUCAGAGACUAUGGGGUUCCUCAGAGUGAGGCUGAGGUCUCCAGUCUGCAGAGCGUCGGUGAACAUUGAUGUUCGGUUGGUGUAACGAUCGUUUUGACCACUAAGAUCGUCAUUGCUCUGUAGACGCAGGUGAACUGUUGGGUUCCUGAACUCCUCACAGUCCCACACUGCUGAUGUGGAGCUCCUGGAAACAUCAGCUGGUACCUGACAGGGCAGCAGGACAGACUCAACCCCCCUCAUACACCUCCACCCCUGAGGCACGCUGGGAAACUGAGGAGGAGAAACAUGAAACAGGUGAGAUCUGUGCUUCACAGUCACAUGACUUUUCACACACACAGUGAUGUUCUCUAUGAUGUUUUGUCUCUGCAUGUUAAUGAUCCCACACACUCUUCAGCUGUAGUUGAACUUUAAAGCUGAUCCAAGCAUCAGAUCUGAGACUCUCCUGUCACCAUGAAGUCUCUGCUAACUCCUUCAAACACAUCCUAAACUCUCAGGAAAACAAACAUAAAGGACAAGAAAGAAACAAACACCGCAGCUCAGGUCUGUCACGGUGAACCUGUCCAGCUCAGUGUCUCCAUCCAGCUCAAAUCACCAACACAACACAAACACAAGUGUGCAGUAUAGGACAAUAAUGCACACACAGCAGGCCCUGUCUUCUCCCAUCACACAGUUAGAAACCUGCUCUGUACUCAGAACAUCACAGAGGAAACAGCUGAAAGAAGCUUGCUGUGAGUGUCACUCAGGUCCAUCAACAGGUGAGCUGUCAGGGUCCUGGGUCUGAGCGA